rnacentral:rRNA from 1 species
UACGGAGGGUGCGAGCGUUAUCCGGAAUUACUGGGCUUAAAGGGUGCGUAGGCGGCUUUGUAAGUCAGGAGUGAAAGUUUGCGGCUCAACCGUAAAAUUGCUUUUGAUACUGCGAGGCUAGAAUUAGGAUGAGGUCAGCGGAAUGUGGCAUGUAGCGGUGAAAUGCAUAGAUGUGCCAUAGAACACCAAUUGCGAAGGCAGCUGGCUAGACCUGGAUUGACGCUGAGGCACGAAAGCGUGGGGAGCGAACAGG